GAGGGGAAGAAGGGAGUGAGAAGGGGAGGAGCGCGCUUUGGGCAGAGGAGCGGCGGGACGCCAGCGAGACCCGUCGCCCAUCUUCCUCUCCCGAGAGGCCGACUUAGGAGAGAGGUGGUGAAGAAGCCAAAGUACUUGCAGAAGAUUACACCCGUCUCAUCUUGUUUUCCACUUCACUUGGGGAAUUAACGCUUAUUAUACCUUAAAAAAUAAAACAACUUUUUGUGCUUCCGGAAA